rnacentral:piRNA from 1 species
GCUACUGUGUGACAGUGCAUGGCUGU